AACCCCCAUGCUACAAGCCAGCCUCAACCAUCGAUUAAGAUUCAAAACCCAUAUACAAAAAGCCAAUCAAAGGCAGAACAGAGCAUGGAAACUGGGAACAUUAAAGGGAUUAUCGGAUCGACUUACCUGUGAUGCCAUCGCCGCAUCGCUGAUCUAGUGCCGUCGUUGCCAAGAAAUGGGCCCGAAACGUUUCGUUGGCGUGUCUCUUCAUUUCCGACGUGAAAACGUUUCUAAAAUGGGGAAACGGCAUGACUCAGCAUUUUCGUGCAACGUAGGUGAUAGGUCAAGUUCAUUCCUAGAACAACUAAUGGAUGUGCUUACUACGUUGUUGGAAAAGUGAGGAUUGGCUCCUUAAUCCUCCCCCAGUUAGCUGAUCUAUGGGUUAAAGAUAGGCUGUACUUUUCUCAUAAAUCAUGAAUGAAGUUCUCACCUUUCAGAUUAAAAAAGGUAAAAGGCCAUUUUUCACCCUAAAUUAUGGUCAAUAGUCGUUUAAGCUCUUAAAAUCUUUGUAGAUUCAUAUAAGCCCCUCUCAAGUAUUUAAAAUAGUAUAAAUAGCUCUAAAUUUAACAUAUGUUAUGUCUAGAAGAGUGGCCCAUAUGUUAGUCAUUUCCUGCUAUUAACAUAUUGUAACUUAUCCACCCAUUGUAAAAUCUAUUGUGUUGAAUAAAAUUCUCAAAUUCUACG